AGCUGGUCCCAGCAGUGGUGUUUACAACUAAUUGAUCACCACCAGUUACAGAUUCGUUUGUUCCUUCUCCACUCUCACUGCUUCACUUGACCAGCCUGUG
rnacentral:Y_RNA from 1 species